GGCCUGAUGGUCUAGUAGUAUGAUUCCUUGUUAGGGCGUCUAACGCGCAAUUCGAGGAGGUCCCGGGUUCAAUUCCCGGUCAGGCCC
rnacentral:tRNA from 1 species